rnacentral:piRNA from 1 species
UACAAUGGCUGGGAGUAAUGACUCAUGU